CUACCCAGUCCACUAAUAAAAUCUCAGAUUCGAACGUCACCCAAAUGUGGCAAUAAUAACAACACGAUUUAAAAAUAGCUUCGAACGCUUGAUGCUUAUUCAAUCGGGUAGCAAUUUCAGUUGGAAAGGAUGACGUCGCUAUAAUUUUGAAAAGGAUUCCGUGCCAAAAUACGACUCGUUGACGUAUAGAUCUUUAAUGAAAGAACUACUUUUCAAAUUUGUCAUGCAACACCUGUUUUUAUAAAACAUCUCAAAUUCAUAACUAUCUUUGAUUGGUGCCAUAACGAAGCAUCGGCUAGAUUUGAACAGAUACUCUCGUUUCCGAAUUCUUAACACGCGUCACUGGCAAAGUUAUAUAAGCCCACACUUUUCAAAUCAAUGAGCCAAAUAACAAACGACGAAUCCCAAGAAAAACACACGGAAAUAAUACUUCCAGCGUCCAGGAAGCAAAGACAAGCAAUGGAUAAUCCAGCAUUUGAAAACUCAGCGGAAGGCGAUGAAUCCGGCAAGAAAAAGGUGUACACAGCGACUGAUGUGCCUGGUCCGCCAGGUAAUACGGUCCGUGCUCGAAAGUUGACACCUAAAAUAAACACAAAUUAUCGAACGAGUCAGACAGACAUUUUACCAACAUUGCACGAAAUACCUUCCGUGACUGAUCUGACUGAAAUGAAAGAGUCAAGACACAUAACGAAUGGCAGCAACUUAGAACAUGCAGAAGCGGGACCACCAACUUUGAUUCAGAAAGGGAAGGCUUCGGCUGCUUCGUUGCGCCAAUUAGUGCGAAACAUGAGUCGUGAUGUCAUACCGAAUAUCGACAAUUAUCGCAUGACUUACCAGAGGCAAACGGGAGCCAGACCCAGUUUACACGAACUGUGCAGUCCCACGACGCCUGUAGUCAAUGAAGAAGUAUUACUACGUGAUUUUAGUGAGGUAGAAGUUGAGGAAGGAGGCCCUAAACUACCAGAGGACAUUGCUAAAGACAAUGUGGGGGGACCUGUCAAAUUUGGAUGGAUAGAGGGUGUUUUAAUUCGAAACAUGAUGAGCAUUUGGGGUGUUAUGCUUUUCUUACGUCUUUCAUGGGUAGUGGCGCAAGCAGGAAUAGGCGAAACUUUGGUUAUUAUCGGAAUUUCGACGUUCAUCACUUUGGUGACGGCCUUGUCCAUGUCCGCCAUAUCAACCAAUGGAGAGAUCGGCGGAGGUGGCACUUAUUUCGUGAUGUCAAGAGUAUUGGGCCCAGAAUUUGGUGGAUCAAUCGGCAUCAUCUUUAUCAUCGCCAACGCGAUGGAUUGCGCCCUCAAUACAGUUGGUUUCGCUCAAACCGUGUUGGAUAUGAUGAAAACAUACGGGGGAGGAAUGAUCAUCGUGGACGGAGGUGACAACGACAUCCGCAUCAUAAGUGUCGUCGCCAUAUUCUUGAUCUGCACUGUCUGCGGUCUUGGAUCUUAUUACGAAACAAAGAUGAAAAACAUCAUGUUACUCAUUAUGCUGAUUUCCCUCUCAAAUUUCCUUGCUGGAAGCAUUAUGGGUCCUUCAGACGAAUUGGAACAAGCACAAGGAUUUAUCGGUUACAGCAUGGAAUUACUGAAAGAGAACUGGAAUUCAAACUACUUCGUCACUGAUGGCCAAAUGCAGAAUUUCAUUUCCGUGUUUUCCGUUUACUUUCCGGCCUGCAUCGGAAUUCUUGCCGGGGCUAAUGUUUCCGGUGACCUGAAGAACCCUAAUUCAGCUAUCCCCAAAGGAACGAUAUGGGCCAUCAUCCUUUGCAGCAUAGUUUACGCUGGAGUAGCCGUCAUCUGUGCAGUAACAGUAGCACGACAAGCUACUGGACGAGUUGUUGACUUGGCCAAUGGAACCUAUUUAAACUGCACCUCUUUUACAAACGGCACUAAUUGUAAAAGUGGCCUGAAUUACGAUUAUCAGGCGAUGUCUUUGGUCUCUGCCUUCGCUCCGCUCAACUAUUUGGGUUGCAUCUCGGCUACACUUAGUACAGCUCUCUCGGAUUUUGUUUCUUGCCCGGCUCUCAUCGAAGCCAUGGCGGCUGAUAAUCUCUAUCCCUAUUGGAUGAUGGGCUUUAUGGGAAAGGGAUAUGGGAAAUCAAAGCAGCCAUUACGCGCAAUUGCUUUUACUUUCCUGUUAUCAGUGGCUUUCAUUCUAAUAGCUAAAUUGGACAUGAUCGCCUUACUGAUUUCGGAUUUCUUUCUCGCCACGUUCGCCCUAAUGAAUUUUUCGACGUUCCACAUCAGCUUGGUCAAACCAAUCGGAUGGCGACCGACUUUUAAGUAUUACAACACUUGGCUUAGUCUCUUGACGGGCAUUCUGUCAAUCGUCUCCAUGAUCCUCGUCAGUCUACCUAUAGCAAUGAUAACAAUAGCUGUCGUCCUGUUUUUUUAUUUGUUAGUUCUCUACCGAAAACCUGAGGUGAACUGGGGAUCAUCUACUCAAGCACAGACCUAUCGCGCCGCUCUGAAUAGUAUUCAACAACUCGUUCACAUAGAGGAACACGUCAAGAAUUACAGGCCACAAAUUUUGGUACUAACGGGACUCCCCAACACUCGCCCAGCUCUGGUAGACUUUGCCUAUCUCAUCUGUAAAAAUAAUUCCCUGAUGGUCUGCGGUAAUGUUGUCGAGGAAAGAUUAACAUUUGAAAUGCGCUCCAAUCUACAACAAAAAGCUUAUCGAUACCUGCGAUUCACCAACAUCAAGGGAUUCUGUUCCGUUGUCGAUAACGUGAAUCUCCACACAGGCGUUGAAGUAUUGUUGGGCCUUUCUGGCGUUGGUAAAGUGAAGCCCAACAUUCUUAUGAUGGGCUACAAAAAUAACUGGGCAACCUGCGACAAAAAAACAUUGGAUGAAUAUGUGUUGACUAUACAUACUGGGUUCGAAAUGAAUGUGGGUGUGGCCAUCCUUCGACUACAAGAGGGCCUCGAUUGUUCUGAAAUUUUGGGAGACAUAGACGAAGUUAUUCUGAAUAAAUCUAGCGAGAAAACCUAUGAGUCAACAAGCCGCCCAUCAUUCGGACGGGAAAACUCAGUGAUCAGUGAUAGCAAUUUAUCGGAAACCCCAACAGACAUCUCAUCAUCAAUUAGAAAUUCGAGUAUCAGCGAAUCAGCAGUUGAGUCCACAGUUCAGGAAGAAGGCAGCCGAACUGUGGUGCUUGGUGUCACGAAAAACAAGAAAAGCAAGAAAAAGCAAAAGCAGGCCAUCACAUUUAGAGACCCUAAAGGAAACGAAUUGCCAAAGAGUUUAAUGAAUAGAGUAAUCUUGUUCCAGAAAAAACAGAAAAAGGACACCAUUGAUGUCUGGUGGCUGAGCGACGAUGGAGGUUUGACACUGCUUCUACCUGUUCUGAUCAAUAGCCGGUCCAAUUGGUCAGAGACUAAACUGCGCAUUUUCUGCACGGCGUCUGGUGUUCAAGAAUUGGAAAAAGAGCAUAAAGGAAUGACGGUAUUGCUCUCCAAAUUCCGAAUUGAUUAUUCAGAUCUAGUUAUUAUUAGUUACGCUAAUGCAGCACCGAAAAGCAAAACCAAAGAGUGGUUUGAUAGCCUGAUUCGACCCUUCCGACAAUCAGGAGAAGGAAACCACAUAAAAGAAAGAGAACUUGAAACUUUUCAGUACAGAACUGAUCGUUACCUCAGAUUGAGAGAGUUACUCCAGGAUCAUUCCUCGGAUUCCAACUUGGUAGUUAUGACCUUACCAAUACUCCGAAAAGGAGACUUUAGUGCCCCACUUUACAUGGCUUGGUUGGAGACACUCACUGCUAAUAUGCCUCCGUUCAUGCUCGUCCGCGGAAAUCAAACAUCUGUUUUGACAUUUUAUUCUUGAAAGGUUGACCGAUAAAAUUGUGAGCACUUGUUUUGUUAGAAUGGCCAGCAUGUACAUUUACGUACAUCUCACAUUAGAGAAUUGUUGUCCUUUUUUUAUUUUUUUGUUUUCAUACAAUCUUGUCAAGAACCCUAACACACGAGACACGACGAAAAGCAAUAAGGAACCAGCGAAAAAUCGAAAAUCUAUUACACUCUUCAGUCAUUCUUCUUGCCAAAAUGCUUCGGAAUCGGAAGCGUUCAGUAGUCUAACGAGUAGCAUUACGGGUGUGUGGAUCCGUGGAAAACUGGAAGCUGAAACCUGAAAAUGCCUGACAGAAUGUGUGCUGGGUACGCCGUACGAAAUUGGAUCGAUAUAUUUCACCAUGUCCAUUUUAAAGGUGUUGAAAAAGUUAUAUGAAAUUGCUCAUUGUUUCAGCCUGAUGGCUGGAUUACUACAGAAAAGCUUGAAUCAGUGCUCCACAACUAAUUGUGUGAUUGCCAGUCACCCUGUAUGGAGUUUCAACUGUAACAGCCUGUCAAUAUCUUAGAGAAUCCUAGUGUUGGAGCUCGGCGUUGCUGCAAUGUGUAAACAUCUCGCGGUUACUGGUGAUUCGUCUCGACCGUGCGCCUUCGCGAUCACUAAUAUGUGAAGACGGAACUAAAAUUGCAAUUAUGCUCUCGAUUGUUAGUUAAUAUUUAGGAUUCUGCUGACUUGAAAUCUUCGACGUUGCAUCAUUAAGCUUUGGCCAAUAAAAGAACUAUUCCUUUAUUCCCUUUCAUUUGGUAAUCUUCCACAUUGAAAAAGUGCACCCGGUGUGAAGAGUUUGGAAUUCCGAAACUCACUUUUAACGUAGUGACCAUCAGGAAAAAUGUCGCACAACAGGCAAAUAUUAACGACAAAUGUUCGUUGAAAGAUUUACAAAAUGUUUCAUUUAUUUUAGAACAUAAAUAAGGUGUACAUAAUGUGACUACCUAAACUCAUUCGUACAAAAUGCUUAUUAUAGUUUUCACGAUCCUGUCGUAUGCUAAUUGAUCUGUCGUUGUUUUUAGAAACAUUACGAAAAUGAAAUCUAAAUAAAAAUUGUACGAUUUA
rnacentral:misc_RNA from 1 species